ensembl:lncRNA
UAACUUGUAACUUUGUGCAACAAUCUGAACGUUUCAAACGCAACAAGUAGAGGUCACCAGCACAAUAAUGGCUGAGGAUUACCUGGGGGCGUGCAUGCUGUGUACAAAGUAUUUCUAAGUGUGUGUGUGUGUGGCGUGGGUGUUGUUAAGAAAUCUCUCUGAGGUUCUUUCUGGCAGCGUAGAUGUACCUGGCCACCAAUCAAAGCACACCUGGGCAAUCUGCUUGUGUUGGAGUGUGUGUGUGUGAGUGUGUGUGUGUGUAGACAUACAGGGUACACCAUAUAUCACAAUUAGAUGUUGACCUAGAAAAUGCAGACAACACCGGACACCUAUCUACAGGACCACCGUCGAUGGCCAUAAGAGGUGUGGUCCAUCGCUCAGAACACAUCGCGGCUACGCUACACGCUAGUGCUACGAUUUUUUUUAUCGUUUGCAUUUUGGUAUUUAGGGGCAGGUUGGGGUUAGGGCACAUUGGUUCUCAAAAGCCUUAAGGUACACUGCAGACAAAAUUAAUAAUAAUUUUAUUUGAAGGCCUUUCAGCACACUCAAGGUCACCUGGCGUAAAUAAAAAAACAGGAAAAAUACUAUCCUUUAGUUUACAUCAUCUCUUUUGUUGUGCAAUAAUAUGGAAACAACAACUAAGAUACUAAGGAUAAUAGUAUCUCUCAAUGAGUGACUUUCACACGUGAAUGGUUCAUAGAAGCCCAUCAAAUCUUUGCAGAACUGCAGAAAUAUGAUUGGAUCCACUGUGAUUGUUUUAAGUGUGAGUGUUCAAGGGCUUUCAGCUUGGCCUUGUUCAUUUUACAUAAGAGUAUAAUAGAAUACAGGCCAAGCUAUAGGAUCACUACAGUUAUAUCCCCCCCCACAAAAAAAGACAAAACUAAGCAAAAACUGUUCGAUACUAAGAUUGGUUACCAAUGUGAAUGGCAGCUGUCAUGUAUUGCUAAUGGUUAGAGGUAUGUUAUAGUUGGUCGCAUUCACAUUCAGUUCUCUUGAUUGCCAUGUCAAACUGUGCGGCGAAAUAAACAGGGUUUGAUGUGGCUGGCAUUAAAACACAACGAUAUCCACUCACAGAAGACAGAAACGUAGCCCAGCUCUGGGAGCUCCGACUCCCCCAGCAGCUGGCGGGGCUGAGCCUCUUCCUCCAAGCCCCGGUCCGGGUCCAAGACCUGUUGGAGAACACAGGUGGUGGCUGAAGCUAGGCUCCUACACUGGGGCUGCCGGGCCCCUCGGCUGGGCGGGGAGGGAGACGGGGAAGGGGGUCGGUUUCUGGGGUGGGGAGGUGCAGGAGGAGGAGGAGGAGGAGGAGAUGGAGGCUCAGGCUCUGGAACAGGCUAGGGGACGCGGCGUUGGAGCCGGAGCUCAGCGUCUCUAAGUAGGAGGAGGAGGAGGAGGAGGUGGGAAAAGGAGGAGGAAAAGGAGGAGGAGGCUAGAACGGGUUGCGGUGUUGGAGCCAGAGAAAUUACAUUAAGC